rnacentral:rRNA from 1 species
UACGAAGGCAGCGAGCGUUGUUCGGAAUUACUGGGCGUAAAGAGUGUGUAGGUGGUGCUCUAAGUUUGGUGUGAAAUCUCCCGGCUCAACCGGGAGGGUGCAUCGAAAACUGGAGUGCUAGAGGAUGGGAGAGGCAAGCGGAAUUCCUGGUGUAGCGGUGAAAUGCGUAGAUAUCAGGAGGAACACCGUUGGCGAAGGCGGCUUCCUGGACUGUCCCUGACGCUGAGGCGCGAAAGCGUGGGUAGCAAACAGG